rnacentral:lncRNA from 1 species
GUGGUUUCCUGUGGUAAGCUCAGAGUGUCUCAAGAGAGAAGUGUGGAGUGUAGCCAGGCACCACAUGGUUCAGAAGAACUUGUUAAAAAUUCACGCCACCAGCUGCCCUUGUGAUGUGAAGGCUGCCAUUAUCCCAGGAAGCUAACACUGCACUAGAAUUGGGAAAGGGGAUCUUAUGGUCUCUGCUCCAAGCAACCUCUACUUCCCACUGGUUCAAACCAGUUCACAUGUUCACUGCUAGACAAUCAUUGCCAAAGAACUAGCUCUAUUUUAAUUCGUCAAUAAAGCACGGGGGUCUGGGAGCUUUGGUACAGAACAGUUCAGAACUUUGCGGUGGGCCCUGGAGGGAGGGAGAGUCUGCACACGCUUCAGGAACCAGGCCUAGCUUCGGAGAAGUCAAAUGUGUAGCUUUCCUCAAAGCCAGGCCGAAAGCCAUCCCCAACCCCGACGCCUGUGGCUGUGCCUGCCCCAGGUGGUGUUCCUGUGCCUGCUCACGACCCGCCUGCAAAACCGUGGCAAGGCUUUGCACAUUAUUCCAGGUUGAGAAUUCGAGCCUCUUGUACCUUAGAGCAAAACUAAAAGCUGUCAGACUGCAACUCCCGAAGACAACGCCCAGAGCAGCCUCGGGCGUGCCGAUUGGUCCGCGGUGUAUCUAUCAGGACUCAGUAACCAAUCACAAGGAAUGAGAGGAGGGCGCGCCUCCCAC